rnacentral:rRNA from 1 species
GAUGAACGCUAGCGGCAGGCUUAACACAUGCAAGUCGAGGGGCAGCAUAAAUAGUAGCAAUACUAUUGGUGGCGACCGGCGGACGGGUGCGUAACGCGUAUACAACCUUCCCUAAACAGGGGGAUAAUCUGGAGAAAUUCGGUCUAAUACCCCAUAACAUCAGAGCAGGCAUCUGUUUUGGUUAAAAUUUACGGAGGUUUAGGAGGGGUAUGCGUAGCAUUAGCUAGUUGGUGAGGUAACGGCUCACCAAGGCGACGAUGCUUAGGGGGACUGAGAGGUUAACCCCCCACACUGGUACUGAGACACGGACCAGACUCCUACGGGAGGCAGCAGUGAGGAAUAUUGGUCAAUGGGCGGAAGCCUGAACCAGCCAUGCCGCGUGCAGGAUGACGGCUCUAUGAGUUGUAAACUGCUUUUGUGCGAGGGUAAAGUGGGCUACGUGUAGCCUUUUGAAAGUAUCGUACGAAUAAGGAUCGGCUAACUCCGUGCCAGCCGCCGCGGUAA